GUGCCAGCAGCCGCGGUAAUACGUAGGGUGCGAGCGUUAAUCGGAAUUACUGGGCGUAAAGCGUGCGCAGGCGGCCGCGUAAGCCAGAGGUGAAAUCCCCGGGCUCAACCUGGGAAUGGCCUUUGGGACUGCGUGGCUCGAGUGCGGCAGAGGGGGGUGGAAUUCCUGGUGUAGCAGUGAAAUGCGUAGAUAUCAGGAGGAACACCGAUGGCGAAGGCAGCCCCCUGGGCCAGCACUGACGCUCAGGCACGAAAGCGUGGGGAGCAAACAGGAUUAGAAACCCCGGUAGUCC
rnacentral:rRNA from 1 species